GUGCUCGCUUCGGCAGCACAUAUACUAAAAUUGGAACAAUUUAGGGAAGA
rnacentral:snRNA from 1 species